GCCAGCCCGCUCAGAAACUACAAGGAAUUGACGGGGGCCCGCACAAGCGGUGGAGCAUGUGGUUUAAUUCGAUGAUACGCGAGGAACCUUACCUGGGCUCAAAUGUAUGUUGACGUAUUCUGAAAGGGAUACUUCUUCGGACAAUAUACAAGGUGCUGCAUGGUUGUCGUCAGCUCGUGCCGUGAGGUGUCGGGUUAAGUCCCAUAACGAGCGCAACCCUAUCAUUAGUUGCCAUCAGGUUAAGCUGGGGACUCUAAAGGAACUGCCUACGCAAGUAGUGAGGAAGGCGGGGAUGACGUCAAAUCAGCACGGCCCUUACGUCCAGGGCUACACACGUGCUACAAUGGCCGAUACAGAGGGCAGCUACCUGGUGACAGGAUGCAAAUCUCCAAAGUCGGUCUCAGUUCGGAUCGGAGUCUGCAACCCGACUCCGUGAAGUUGGAUUCGCUAGUAAUCGCGCAUCAGCCAUGGCGCGGUGAAUACGUUCCCGGGCCUU
rnacentral:rRNA from 1 species